rnacentral:rRNA from 1 species
GACAGAGGAUGCAAGCGUUAUCCGGAAUGAUUGGGCGUAAAGCGUCUGUAGGUGGCUUUUAAGUCCGCCGUCAAAUCCCAGGGCUCAACCCUGGACAGGCGGUGGAAACUACCAAGCUGGAGUACGGUAGGGCAGAGGGAAUUUCCGGUGGAGCGGUGAAAUGCGUAGAGAUCGGAAGAACACCACGGCGAAGCACUCUGCUGGCCGACACUGACACUGAGAGACGAAGCUAGGGG